UACAGAACUCUUCCAUUAAUUGACUAAGGUUCUGAAACUGACCGUGAAGAUGGAGUAGGGAUCUCCCAUUGCCACCAUGUCGGAGUAGGCGUCGGCCCUGGAAAGGCUGUACUCCUUCAACUCCUCCGUCACCUGCAACAACAACAACAUCCCCUGAGCCGCCAUUGAGUCGGGAAGGACGAACAACACUGAGCCGGACACAAAGACGGUUCGUAUUGUUUGAGACCAGUCUGACAGGCGCUUUGAGACACUACGUUGAUACUCAAAGUGGCAGAUUGGGUUUCAUAGGUGAACCUGCAGGAAACGUUAUACAGGAAAGAAUUGGGGGCGUGAGGGAGAGAAGACCCUGGAGAGUCAUGGAAGCUUCAGGUAUUCACAGAUCACAUGAUGCACUUUUGUGAACAACAAUGUAAGUCAACGCGAAGACGAUGUCUUUGUAGUCGAUGCUGAAUCAGAAUAAGUUGACUCACUACGUAUGGUUUUGGUAUAUCUGAGUCAUUCUUGUUCUCACCCUCUUCUUAGUGAUGUCAUUGUUUGAGCCCGUCCACCGCGUCGCCUUGUCGACCACCAGGAUACCGACCAGCGAGUCGGUCUCCGCCACAGUGACCCCGAGUGUGACCUCGUCACCCGGCUUCCUCUUAGCGUUGCUCCAGGUUUGUCCGAUUGGCAGCUGCAGCACAUCGUUGAUGAUCUCUCCGUCGGGAUGCACACAGAAGACGAUGAUGCAGGCCAGAGGCGCCCAGGAGACUUCUGGGAAAAGUGUCGGAUCACCAGAGCUCUUCCCAGCAGACACCACCUGACCUCUGGACUUCACCUUCACACACAAAACAGGUGAUCAGAUCCCUUCCAGUUUUCCAGAUCUUUUGACCACUUGGAUGCAAACAAACACCUGAAGAAGUUGAAGAAGCCAUAUUGUGACUUUAAGUUAACUAAAAAAGAAGUGAAUAUAUGCAAUAGUGAAUGAUUCAUAACUCUGAAAAAAAUAUACAAAUCUAGUCAAUGAGGAAAUUCAUGAUUAAACCAUAAUUGAAUGUAAAUGAAUGUAGUGAACA